rnacentral:rRNA from 1 species
UGGGGAAUAUUGGACAAUGGGCGAAAGCCUGAUCCAGCCAUGCCGCGUGUGUGAAGAAGGCCUUUUGGUUGUAAAGCACUUUAAGUGGGGAGGAAAAGCUUAUGGUUAAUACCCAUAAGCCCUGACGUUACCCACAGAAUAAGCACCGGCUAACUCUGUGCCAGCAGCCGCGGUAAUACAGAGGGUGCAAGCGUUAAUCGGAAUUACUGGGCGUAAAGCGCGCGUAGGUGGUUAUUUAAGUCAGAUGUGAAAGCCCCGGGCUUAACCUGGGAACUGCAUCUGAUACUGGAUAACUAGAGUAGGUGAGAGGGGAGUAGAAUUCCAGGUGUAGCGGUGAAAUGCGUAGAGAUCUGGAGGAAUACCGAUGGCGAAGGCAGCUCCCUGGCAUCAUACUGACACUGAGGUGCGAAAGCGUGGGUAGCAAACAGGAUUAGAUACCCUGGUAGUCCACGCCGUAAACGAUGUCUACCAGUCGUUGGGUCUUUUAAAGACUUAGUGACGCAGUUAACGCAAUAAGUAGACCACCUGGGGAGUACGGCCGCAAGGUUA